ACAUUCUUAGCCACCGAAGUAUGGCACCAAAAGCGAUAAGGAGCAUGUGUUCCUUAAUAAAUGUCACAUCAGAAAAUGACUGUUCCAGGACAGUAACCACCUCCCGAUGGUUUCUGUGGCUGGAUCAGGCACCGGAAGAGGCUCCCCAGCUGUAACUCUAGUGCAGUUACCUUCGGGCCAAACUAUACAUGUCCAGGGAGUAAUUCAGACACCACAGCCAUCAGUUAUUCAGUCACCACAAAUACACACUGUUCAGGUAGCAACAAUUGCAGAGACAGAUGAAUCUGCAGAAUCAGAAGGUGUAAUUGAUUCUCAUAAACGUAGAGAAAUCCUUUCACGAAGACCCUCUUAUAGGAAAAUACUGAAUGAACUGUCCUCUGAUGUGCCUGGUGUUCCCAAGAUUGAAGAAGAAAGAUCAGAGGAAGAAGGAACACCACCUAGCAUUGCUACCAUGGCAGUACCAACUAGCAUAUAUCAGACUAGCACGGGGCAAUACAUUGCUAUAGCCCAAGGUGGAACAAUCCAGAUUUCUAACCCAGGAUCUGAUGGUGUUCAGGGACUGCAGGCAUUAACAAUGACAAAUUCAGGAGCUCCUCCACCAGGUGCUACAAUUGUACAGUACGCAGCACAAUCAGCUGAUGGCACACAGCAGUUCUUUGUCCCAGGCAGCCAGGUUGUUGUUCAAGGUAUAUUUUAUUAAUCUAAUACAUUUAGAAUACCU
rnacentral:sRNA from 1 species